rnacentral:rRNA from 1 species
UACGUAGGGUGCAAGCGUUGUCCGGAAUCAUUGGGCGUAAAGGGUGUGUAGGCGGUUUUGUUAGUCUCGUGUAAAAUUCUUCGGCUCAACCGGGGGCUCGCACGGGAAACGGCAAGACUUAGAGGAUGGAAGAGGUCUCUGGAACUCAUGGUGUAGCGGUGAAAUGCGUUGAUAUCAUGGGGAACACCAAAAGCGAAGGCAAGAGACUGGUCCAUUUCCUGACGCUGAAACACGAAAGCGUGGGUCGCGAAUGGG